rnacentral:rRNA from 1 species
AUACGUAGGGGGCGAGCGUUGUCCGGAAUGAUUGGGCGUAAAGGGCGCGUAGGCGGCCCGGUAAGUCUGGAGUGAAAGUCCUGUUUUUAAGAUGGGAAUUGCUUUGGAUACUGUCGGGCUUGAGUGCAGGAGAGGUAAGUGGAAUUCCCAGUGUAGCGGUGAAAUGCGUAGAGAUUGGGAGGAACACCAGUGGCGAAGGCGGCUUACUGGACUGUAACUGACGCUGAGGCGCGAAAGUGUGGGGAGCAAACAGGAUUAGAUACCCUGGUAGUCCACACUGUAAACGAUGAAUGCUAGGUGUAGGGGGUAUCGACCCCUUCUGUGCCGCAGUCAACACAAUAAGCAUGCCGCCUGGGGAGUACGGUCGCAAGGUUGAAACUUAAAGGAAUUGGCGGGG